UGACUGACUGAGUGCCAGCCGCCGCGGUAAAACGUAGGUCACGAGCGUUGUCCGGAAUUACUGGGUGUAAAGGGAGCGCAGGCGGGUAUGCAAGUUGGGAGUGAAAUACAUGGGCUCAACCCAUGAACUGCUCUCAAAACUGUGUAUCUUGAGUAGUGCAGAGGUAGGCGGAAUUCCCGGUGUANCGGUGGAAUGCGUAGAUAUCGGGAGGAACACCAGUGGCGAAGGCGGCCUACUGGGCACCAACUGACGCUGAGGCUCGAAAGUGUGGGUAGCAAACANGAUUAGAUACCCUGGNANUCCANACCGUANACGAUGANUACUANGUGUUGGAGGAUAGACCCCUUCAGUG
rnacentral:rRNA from 1 species